UGGGUAGUAGCUCAGUGGUAGAGCUCCGGAUCCGUACGCGGGAAGGCCUAGGUUCGAUUCCCGGUUGCUUAC
rnacentral:tRNA from 1 species